GCCGUGAUUGUGUAACGGUAGCACAAAGGCCUGUGGAGCCUUUAGUUCGGGUUCGAAUCCCGAUCACGGCC
rnacentral:tRNA from 1 species